rnacentral:hammerhead_ribozyme from 1 species
GCACUUCUGAGUCCCACAAUAGGACGAAACGGCCGUCCAGUGC